rnacentral:rRNA from 1 species
AUUGAACGCUGGCGGCAUGCCUUACACAUGCAAGUCGAACGGUAACAGGUCUUCGGAUGCUGACGAGUGGCGAACGGGUGAGUAAUACAUCGGAACGUGCCCGAGAGUGGGGGAUAACGAGGCGAAAGCUUUGCUAAUACCGCAUACGAUCUCAGGAUGAAAGCAGGGGACCGCAAGGCCUUGCGCUCACGGAGCGGCCGAUGGCAGAUUAGGUAGUUGGUGGGAUAAAAGCUUACCAAGCCGACGAUCUGUAGCUGGUCUGAGAGGACGACCAGCCACACUGGGACUGAGACACGGCCCAGACUCCUACGGGAGUCAGCAGUGGGGAAUUUUGGACAAUGGGCGCAAGCCUGAUCCAGCCAUGCCGCGUGCAGGAUGAAGGCCUUCGGGUUGUAAACUGCUUUUGUACGGAACGAAAAGACUCCUUCUAAUAAAGGGGGUCCAUGACGGUACCGUAAGAAUAAGCACCGGCUAACUACGUGCCAGCAGCCGCGGUAAUAC